CAUGGCCCACCAACAGUCCAGGUUUUGUCAGUAUCUCCAUUGAAAUAAAACAGGGAGAUACAUAAAUACUGGAUUGUUGGUGGGUCAU